rnacentral:rRNA from 1 species
UGGGGAAUAUUGCACAAUGGGCGCAAGCCUGAUGCAGCCAUGCCGCGUGUAUGAAGAAGGCCUUCGGGUUGUAAAGUACUUUCAGCGGGGAGGAAGGGAGUAAAGUUAAUACCUUUGCUCAUUGACGUACCCGCAGAAGAAGAACCGGCUAACUCCGUGCCAGCAGCCGCGGUAAUACGGAGGGUGCAAGCGUUAAUCGGAAUUACUGGGCGUAAAGCGCACGCAGGCGGUUUGUUAAGUCAGAUGUGAAAUCCCCGGGCUCAACCUGGGAACUGCAUCUGAUACUGGCAAGCUUGAGUCUCGUAGAGGGGGGUAGAAUUCCAGGUGUAGCGGUGAAAUGCGUAGAGAUCUGGAGGAAUACCGGUGGCGAAGGCGGCCCCCUGGACGAAGACUGACGCUCAGGUGCGAAAGCGUGGGGAGCAAACAGG